GGUUCCAUGGUGUAAUGGUGAGCACUCUGGACUCUGAAUCCAGCGAUACGACUUCAAGUCUCUCUGGAACCC
rnacentral:tRNA from 1 species